rnacentral:rRNA from 2 species
AGUGAAGCGGGAUGAGCUCAAAUUUAAAAUCUGGCUGGUUUACUAGUCCGAAUUGUAGUUUAAAGAAGCGUUUUCGGUGGCAGCCUGGGUAUAAAUCCUUUGGAAUAGGGUAUCAUAGAGGGUGAGAAUCCCGUCUUUGACUCAGUGCAUGCUACUAUGUGAUACGUUUUCAAAGAGUCGAGUUGUUUGGGAAUGCAGCUCAAAAUGGGUGGUAAAUUUCAUCUAAAGCUAAAUAUUGGCGAGAGACCGAUAGCGAACAAGUACCGUGAGGGAAAGAUGAAAAGAACUUUGAAAAGAGAGUUAAAUAGUGCGUGAAAUUGUUGAAAGGGAAACGUUUGACACCAGUCAUGCGGGUGGAAAAUCAGUCUUUUGGGGUGGGGAGUGGGUAGGAGUUCAGACCGCAAGGCUGGCUUUUGCUUCAUCUCUGUCCUAAAGGAUGCACUUUUUCAUCUGCAGGUCAACAUCAGUUUCUUCUGCUGGACAAAACUCCGAGAGAAGGUAGCAGCUUAGGCUGUGUUAUAGCUCUGGAGCGAUACAGUGGAGGGGACUGAGGUUUUCGCAGUGUGUGCUCUCGGGCAAGGUCGACUGGGUGCUAUGUGAUCGUUCGGUGUACAAUGCAUGCAUUUUGCGCUGUGUCUUUUGCAUACUCGCCUGAAUCGACUCUUCCACGCUUAGGAUGUUGACUUAAUGGUUUUAAACGACCCGUCUUGAAACACGGACCAAGGAGUCUAACAUAUAUGCAAGUGUUUGGGUGGCAAACCCAUACGCGUAAUGAAAGUGAACGUAGGUGCGAUCCGCAAGGUGCAGCAUCGACCGAUCUUGAUAUUUUUGGAUAGAUUUGAGUAAGAGCAUAUAUGCUGGGACCCGAAAGAUGGUGAACUAUGCCUGAAUAGGGUGAAGCCAGAGGAAACUCUGGUGGAGGCUCGUAGCGAUUCUGACGUGCAAAUCGAUCGUCAAAUUUGGGUAUAGGGGCGAAAGACUAAUCGAC